CCAACCACAAGAUACCCUAGGCAAAAUACGCUAGUCACAGGCCAACUACAAGAUAGGAAACUGAAUGCCCUGGUGAAUCCAAUGAGACCCAGGGAGUACAUGUGGCCUGAAACUCUGCAGGGGCUCGCUCAGUCGUGGGCUGACCACCGAACAGGCCCUAAUCUAGUGACAGGAGAAAAGUUAGCAUAACUCUGACAGUCACAGUAAUCUCUCUUUCUCUGCGGACCAAGGAUUUAUUCACAAAACACCCUUUCCUGUCCCAAGACCAUGGAGCCUCUCCCUCCAGCUGGCAGUGUCUCUGGCCAGGGUGUUUGUUCAAAGAAUGUACAUUGCUAUUCUUGGAGUGGUCUCCCUCUCUGUGACAUCCCAGCAGGGAGCAGACAGCCAUGCUCACACAGAAGUGAAGGAGGCCAGGGGCUGUGAUAGGAAGAGAGGGGAGUUGUUGUUUAAUGGGUACAGAGUUUCAAUUUUGCAAAAUGAAAAAGUUUUGGAGAUCUGUCUCACAAUAGUGUGAAUAUAUUUAACACUACUGAACUGUAAACUUAAAAACGGUUGCAAUGGUAAAUUUUACGUUAUGUGUUUUUCAUCACAAUAAUGAAGAAAAGUAAAGAGGCUGGCCUCCAUUAAGCUGGGCCCAGCCUGGCCAGGUCUCCAGAAUCAAAAAUGUUUAGCAACGUCUUCCAGAUUUACAGAUGCUUCUUAAAAUGCAUGCCUGUUUAUAGGGGAAACAGACAAUCAAAUAAACCAGCCACACAGGUCACCAGUCUAAGCUGCCUAAGCCAGAAGGACAAUCCUUGAGUUUGCCACUCUAGCUGACAAACUGCAAGGCUGCCUGCCUCCCAAGCACUAUCAGAUCCCUCAAGCACAGGUGAAGCAGCCCCUCCCUCCCCUCCACCCAGGCCUGUCUGUCUGCUGUCCCCUGCUGUGCACAAAGCUUUGGUGAGUGAGGUGCAUGUUCAGAUCCUGUGCUGAGAGCCUAAACAUUUCUUCACCUCCCCACAGGGCUACUGCUUGAAAGGCUACCCAAGGGGCUCCAGAGGCUCUUCUCAACUCUGGCCAUGUGACCCUGGAGCAACUGCGACGUUCUCUGACCCUCCUCUACACUAAUUUGUGGCUCAUUCCAGAAAAGACUACCUGCAGCAUCAGAUUACUAGGUGAGAAAGCUGCAGGGGACUUGCCUCUAUAUAUCAAAUAGCUGCCCGAGAAACAGGCGACUUGAAUAUUCACUUUAGUCCAGCGAUUGACCGAGCCUCCUGUGGAGUCCCGGAGGACUCCUUUGAGCUGCUGCCUUUGGUUAUGUGGUCACCUAUUAGCCCAUCCAGAGGCUUAGGAGCGGCCAUGUGUAGACAGCCUCUACCAGGAGCAGCACCCAGGUGACAAAUGACGGGAAUGUUCUUCCCGGUCAGCUCUGCCUAGCUCAUCUUAGUCCUGGCCCCCCUCUCAACAUGUCUCAUAGCCAACCAAGGCCCUUUGAAGAAGUGAGCUAAGAAGGUCCACUUGCUCCAAGCAAAGAUGCCCACAACAUCACAGCCUUGACAAAGUUACCACUGAAAAGAUGCACAAAAAGAAUAAAAACAUACAUCACACAUCCCUACUAUCUGCCCUUCCAGGGCAGCUAAAGGACCAAACCAAACAAAACAAAACCAGUUCUCAAGCCUCUAACAUGAUAAAUCCCUAAAGCAUCACCCUAUGAAGAGCAG